rnacentral:lncRNA from 1 species
ACUACCAAUAUUUAUUAUUACACUUCACUUUAUUAUAAUAUACUUAUGAAACAUAAUAUCUGUCUGUCUUUCUGUUUCUCAUAAGUUCCCACACCAUUUGACCUAUCAGGACCAAACUUUGUAAGGUGACUUUUCUGCAGGCACAUAUGAUAUCCAAACUCAAAAUUGCCCCAAAGGAUGGGACACAUUUGAGUCAUUCUUUUUAUCUGUUUGUUUCACUUAGGUUCCCAUACUGUAUGAUCUAUUGGCACCAGACUUUGCAGGGUCACUCCCCAUGGGUGACUCUGCAAAAUUUAAUUCUUCAGGGAUUAAAUUUUGCAUCUCUGCAAAAUUUAAUCCCUGAGGAAUAAAAUUUAACUGUGGGAUUUAGCUGGUUUGCAUCAUUUCAACAGAACUGAUACCUAAUUUUUGUUGAGUUUGACAAACUAGUUGUUAAAAUAACACUUGUAAUCAGGAUUCUCUCUAAGGUGGGUGCCUGGACAGCUGCCUAAUGUA